rnacentral:lncRNA from 1 species
UAUUCUUUGAUGUCCUUGGAAGAGUGGUCAUAAUUUGCGUGAUAUAAGCCAACAACCAAGAUAGAUAAGCCUCAGGAGAGCUAAGGUCAUUUCAACUAACAAAUCACUUGCUCCAUAGUGGAGAAAGCAAACUACAGAUCCAUACACAAACAUGGUAACCAAAAUAUAACACCUGUCUCACAAGCUGUUUGCUUCAUGAAAUAAGAUGAGAAAACAGAAGACAAAGAAUGUAAACAGUUUGCCCAAGAAUCUAGCCAAGAAGUGGUGGACCUAGAUGGAACAAUGCCAGCUCUAAAGCACACACUUGGAUCUACUGACUCCUAAAGGUCCCCGGGUCCUUACCUACAAUUCCAAACUCCAAAAAGCUCUGAAAACCACAAGUUCUUCUAACUUAUUUAACAGUAGACCUGGAUUUGACCUGAAUUAUUCAGCAGCAAAAAGUCUUCUGAACUGACUUGAGGUUACUU